AUUGAGCGCUGGCGGAAUGCUUUACACAUGCAAGUCGAACGGCAGCACGGACUUCGGUCUGGUGGCGAGUGGCGAACGGGUGAGUAAUGUAUCGGAACGUGCCCAGUCGUGGGGGAUAACGUAGUGAAAAUUACGCUAAUACCCCAUACGAUCUAUGGAUGAAAGCGGGGGAUCGCAAGACCUCGCGCGAUUGGAGCGGCCGAUAUCAGAUUAGGUAGUUGGUGGGGUAAAGGCCCACCAAGCCAACGAUCUGUAGCUGGUCUGAGAGGACGACCAGCCACACUGGAACUGAGACACGGUCCAGACUCCUACGGGAGGUAGCAGUGGGGAAUUUUGGACAAUGGGCGAAAGCCUGAUCCAGCCAUUCCGCGUGCAGGAUGAAGGCCCUCGGGUUGUAAACUGCUUUUGUACAGAACGAAAAGGUUUCUACUAAUACUAGGAGCUCAUGACGGUACUGUAAGAAUAAGCACCGGCUAACUACGUGCCAGCCGCCGCAGUAA
rnacentral:rRNA from 1 species